GGUUCCUGUGGCUUAACUGGUAGAUCAUUGCGCUAACAACGCAAAGGUUGUGGGUUCUAAUCCUGAAGAAAGCA